rnacentral:rRNA from 1 species
GAAGCUACUAUGGGUGUGCGACGAAUGCCUAGGGACAAGUUGCCGACGAAGGACGCGUAAGCGGCGAAACGCCCAGGGGAGCUGCACAAGAGCCUUGAUCCUGGGAUUUCCGAAUGGGGAAACCCCGCGAGGGUAACGCCUCGCGACCCACGACUGAAUACAUAGGUCGUGAGGAGGGAACCCGGUGAACUGAAACAUCUUAGUAACCGGAGGAAAAGAAAUCGAAGAGAUUCCGUAAGUAGCGGCGAGCGAAAGCGGACCAGCCUAAACCGAUCGGCUUGCCGGUCGGGGUUGUGGGGCCACUACUCCCUCCUUCAAAUCAAGGCCUUGCGCUUUGGUUUGAAGAUGGGAGAAAAGGGCAUCGGUGAGGUUAACGGAAGCGCUCUGGAAAGAGCCGCCAUAGAGGGUGAUAGCCCCGUAUGUGAAAGCCCCCAUCGAGUUCAAGUGGUACCCGAGUAGCACGGAGCACGUGGAACCCCGUGUGAAUCUGCGCAGACCACUGCGUAAGGCUAAACACGACUUGUCACCGAUAGUGCAUCCAGUACCGUGAGGGAAAGGUGAAAAGAACCCCGGUUAGGGGAGUGAAAUAGAACCUGAAAUCGCACGACCCGCAAACAGUCAGAGCACAAUGCGCGGAGCAAUCCGCGAAAGUGUGAUGGCGUACCUUUUGCAGAAUGAGCCUGCGAGUUACUGGUGUUGGCAAGGUUAAGACUCUCAGAGUCGGAGCCGGAGGGAAACCGAGUCCUAAUAGGGCGUCAAGUCAGCAUCAGCAGACCCGAAACUGCGUGAUCUAGCCAUGGUCAGGCUGAAGUGGUGGUAACACAUCAUGGAGGGCCGAACUCAUUGACGUUGAAAAGUCUCGGGAUGAACUGUGGUUAGUCCGGUGAAAUGCCAAUCGAACGCAGAGAUAGCUGGUUCUCCCCGAAAUGCAUUUGGGUGCAGCGUUUUGCGUUGUACUUGGGGGGUAGAGCACUGAAUGGACUAGGGGGCUUACCGGCUUACCGAACCCAACCAAACUCCGAAUACCCAAGCAUAUAAGCAAGGCAGUGAGACGGCGAGUGAUAAGAUCCGUCGUCAAAAGGAAAACAGUCCAGAUCGACAGCUAAGGGCCCUAAGUGUGGACUAAGUGUGAAACGAUGUGAGAUCGCAUAAACAGCCAGGAGGUUGGCUUGGAAGCAGCCAUCCUUUAAAAAGUGCGUAACAGCUUACUGGCCGAAUGUGGUUUCGCGCGGACAAUGUAAGGGGGCUAAAGUCCACCUCCGAAGCUUCGGGAUCGUCGGCAACGACGAUCGGUAGGGGAGCGUCGUGCGCAGCGUCGAAGCCUGAGCGGAAGCACAGGUGGAGCGCGCACGAGCGAGAAUGCAGGCAUGAGUAGCGAUCAUACAGGUGAGAAUCCUGUACGCCGAAAACCUAAGGUUUCUCCGGUAAUGUUCGUCAGACGGAGGUUAGGCGGUGCCUAAGGCGAGGCCAGAAGGCGUAGCCGAUGGAUAACGGGUAGAUAUUCCCGUCCCAGGCAUGGUUUGUUAGGAGGGACGCUUCUAAAGGUUCCAUCCCGCACCGUUGGUUGUUGCGGGCUAGGGCAAGGCUGGGCCAGUUGAGAGACCGGCAUAAAGGCUGAACCCGGCGAAGGGCGUGCUUCGGCACAAACGAAGUGGAACUGAUGGGGGCCGAGAAAAGCUCCUCAACGUUAGGCCAUGUUUGACCGUACUGCAAACCGACACAGGUAGGUGAGUCGAGGAGACUCAGGCGUUCGAGAGAACUCUCGUUAAGGAACUAGGCAAACGAGCCCCGUAAGUUAGCAAUAAGGGGCGCCCCGAGCAAUCGGGGCCGCAGCGAAGCAUCCCAGGCGACUGUUUACCAAAAACACAGGUCUCUGCUAAGACGUAAGUCGAUGUAUAGGGGCUGACGCCUGCCCAAUGCCAGUAGGUUAACAGGAGAUGUCAGGGGCAACCCGAAGCAUUGAAUCGAAGCCCUGGUGAAUGGCGGCUGUAACUCUAACAGUCCUAAGGUAGCGAAAUUCCUUGUCGGCUAAAUACCGACCCGCAUGAAAGGCGUAACGACUUGGGAACUGUCUCAACGAGAAGCUCGGUGAAACUGUAGUGCCCGUGAAGAUGCGGGCUAUGCGCAGUAGGACGGAAAGACCCCGUGGAGCUUUACUACACCUUGUGAUUGCGAGUUGGAUAUGCCUGUAGAGCGUAGGUGGGAGCUUCGGCACCAAUGGAACACCACCCUUGUAUAUCUGGUUCGCUAACCUUCGCCCUUAUCGGGCGGUGAGACAAUCACAGGCGGGUAGUUUGACUGGGGCGGUCGCCUCCCAAAAGGUAACGGAGGCGCCUAAAGUUGCACUCAGGCUGGUUGGAAAUCAGCCGUCGAGCGUAUAGGUAUAGAGUGCGAUUGACUGCGAGACAGACAAGUCGAGCAGGGACGAAAGUCGAGCUAAGUGACCCUCUGGUUGUGCGUGGGCACGCCAGGGUUCAUCGGAUAUAAGCUACCCCGGGGAUAACAGGCUGAUCUUGCCCGAGCGCUCACAGCGACGGCAUGGUUUGGCACCUCGAUGUCGGCUCGUCGCAUCCUGGGGCUGUACACGGUCCCAAGGGUUCCGGAGUUCACGGAUUAAAGCGGCACGCGAGCUGGGUUCAGAACGGCGUAAGCCAGUUCGGUCCCUAUCCACUGCGCACGAAGGAAACUUGAGAGGAGUCGCUCUUAGUACGAGAGGACCGGAGCGAACCGACCUCUGGUGUACCGGUUGUGCCGCCAGGCGCAGAAGCCGGGUAGCUACGUCGGGCCGUGAUAAGCGCUGAAAGCAUCUAAGCGCCAAGCACACCUCAAGAUGAGGUUUCCCAUCGCAAGAGUAAGGCCCCCGGAAGAACACCGGGUCAGAUAGGUCGCAAGUGGAAGCGCGGUAACGCGUGUAGCUAAGCGAUACUAAUUGGCCGAGGGCUUCAACCUC